AUGGUCACUUAUACUAUAACAAAGUCAGACACAAACACAGUCUUGGAGACCUCAGCCAACUGGAAUCAAGUGCUACAGCAGAAUGCUGAGAAGAGAAACAGAACAGAGCACUGUGCAAACACUGUCUAUUACUUUGGUGCAGGCACUAAACUAACUGUUCUUGUGGUUUGCUGUAGUGCUAGUUAUUCUGAAUUAUAUUUUGGAGCAGGAACAAAGGUGACUGUUAUUGAACGAAGUAUUGCUGAGCCUCAUGUUAAAAUACUUGAGCCAGUGGCAGAUAAGUCUAAUGAGUUUGUGACUCUGGUGUGCCUGGCCACUGACUUCUACCCUGACCAUAUUGAACUGACAUGGGAAAUCAAUAAGAAGAAAACAACUGAUAAAGCAAAGUCUGAUUAUAGAGCAGUCCAAUCAAAUAAUAAAACAUACAGCAUCAGCAGCAGACUGAGGGUGUCAAGAAAUGUUUGGUGUAAUGCAGAUAAUGUGUUCACCUGUGUGGCCAAGUUCUACAAUGAUACUGAUAGAGUGAUAUAUGUAACAGAUCAUGUCAGUGGAAAAGGCCAAUUAAACAAAAAUGUGAAGAGCACAAAGUUUGCAUAUAUUCUACUUUUGUGUAAAAGUUGUUUGUAUGGGCUGAUAAUCCUUUUUCUCAUUUGGAAAUUAAAGCAUUCUUUCAGAAAACAAUCAUAAAAAGGAACAAUCUACUGUAAAAGUGAAGAAUAUUAUAAUUUCUUAAGGUUACCUUUGAUAAAGCCUUUUUUGAAAAAACAAACAAUGCAGCUUGAUGGACUGAAUGGUCACCUCUUGUUUGUCAAAUUUCUUAUUUUCUUAUGUUCUAAUGAUAAAACUUCAAUGUAAUCAACAGAAAACUCAGCUUGUUUGAUAUAUAUUGCACAAUAAAAUACAUAUGUGUUUCUA